rnacentral:lncRNA from 1 species
GUCUUUGGAUGUUCAGAUAGGGACAUGCAAAAAGCUGUGAACUGUUGGGUUAACGGGUCGCUGUGAUCCAGGACAGAUUGGCUUCGGUGACACAUCCAACAGUGGAUGAGUUGGCGGAUGAAGCAAGAGCUUGUGAAAUACUAAGCAGUGAGCUGUCCUUCCAUCCAGAGGCAAGAAGGCGCUGGAGAACAGUAACAGCCAGAAAAGCAUGCAGUUCAUCCGAGAAAUGCACAAGCCAAGAACGUGCCCCACAUCAACAGCACCCACUGCCACAGCGUGGAGGGGAG